rnacentral:lncRNA from 1 species
AUGAGGAGGGGUCGUGACCUUCGCCCCAGGCCGGGGUCAUUCACCGGCCUAGCUCUGGUGGUAGUAGCGGCGCGGCAUGGGCAGGUUCACUCUUGUCAGUCUGUGCGCGGGCCUGAUGUUCCGUGUGCUCCGGUCCCAAUACUCCGGUCCCUCCUGCUCCAACCACGGCGACUGCGGCUACAUCCUCGGAGUCGCCGCGUCGCUGUCGAACCGCACGAACUGCGUGUCGUCCACGUAGCCCACUGCGAUGUACCGGGGCUCCCCGCGACCCGGCCGGGACACGGCGGUGCUGAAAUACCUUAUGGAGUGGGUACCUGGGGGCGAGGAGGGGCUGAGACCCGUCCGACCCUCCUCCUUGCGCUGCUCCCCGGGUCCUGCGCCCCAGUGCGCGGGCCCCUACCUCCUCCCCGCAGAGGCCAUUUCCCUCCGGAUCCCGCACUCACCCGCCCAGGUCUCGGUCAGGGCCAGGGCCCCCAAGAGCAGCAGGAGGAGGGUUCGGGACGCCAUGACCCCAUCCUCGGCGUCUGGGGAGAAUCUGAGUCCCAAUGGGUUCGCGGGGACUUCUGGAACAGGGACCCCAGCGACGCCGAUUGGCUUCGCUAGAAACCCGACACCAAAUGGGGGUGAGAACUGAGUCCACAUCCUGAGUGUCCAGGAAGAAGGACCCUACAUAAGUUGGGAGAGGGAGAAGAGAAACUGCGGAGAUGGGGAAUCCCCAACCCUGGGCCUCCCCAAUCAAUACAUCGCCUUCGGGGCCUGAAACCCUGAGAGCCACGCCUGGGGCCAUAGGACUUCGCCCUGACCCCGCUCCUCCUGUGCCAAGCGCUCUGUCUCAAUGUCUCCCUGAGUCUUGGCCCAAGAGCUGUCUGAGAAACCAGGGAGAAACCCUCGUCAUGGGCCCCGUCCCUCUUCAUUUUUCAUCCCGGAAUCCCCGUCCCAGAACUGGACUCCCUGCCUCCCACUCCUUACCUAUUUCCCUGAACUCUUCUAG